CCGGCGCACGGGUGAGUAACGCGUAUGCAACCUACCUACUACUUUGGGAUAGCUCGUUGAAAGACGAAUUAAUACCUUAUAAAACAGGGGCUCCGCAUGGAGAUAUUUGUUAAAGAUUUAUUGGUAGUAGAUGGGCAUGCGUUCCAUUAGUUAGUUGGUGAGGUAACGGCUCACCAAGACGACGAUGGAUAGGGGAACUGAGAGGUUUAUCCCCCACACUGGAACUGAGACACGGUCCAGACUCCUACGGGAGGCAGCAGUGAGGAAUAUUGGUCAAUGGAGGCAACUCUGAACCAGCCAAGUCGCGUGAAGGAUGACUGCCCUACGGGUUGUAAACUUCUUUUUUAAGGGAAUAAAGUGAGCCACGUGUGGCUUUUUGCAUGUACCUUACGAAUAAGGAUCGGCUAACUCCGUGCCAGCAGCCGCGGUAAUACGGAGGAUCCGAGCGUUAUCCGGAUUUAUUGGGUUUAAAGGGUGCGCAGGCGGAAUAUUAAGUCGGCGGUGAAAGUUUGCA
rnacentral:rRNA from 1 species